rnacentral:rRNA from 1 species
UACGAAGGGGGCUAGCGUUGUUCGGAAUCACUGGGCGUAAAGCGCACGCAGGCGGAUCGUUAAGUCGGGGGUGAAAUCCCGAGGCUCAACCUCGGAACUGCCUUCGAUACUGGCGAUCUUUGAGUCCGGGAGAGGUGAGUGGAACUCCGAGUGUAGAGGUGAAAUUCGUAGAUAUUCGGAAGAACACCAGUGGCGAAGGCGGCUCACUGGCCCGGUACUGACGCUGAGGAGCGAAAGCGUGGGGAGCGAACAGG